UUUAUCUACAGUACAAAGUUACAAUUCUCACUCCAUUUUCACAUUUAUGACACGCCUACUCUUCAGCAUUCUUACUCGAAUUCAAACUCAUAGAAACUCAUAUAGAAGAUAAAGGAAAAGAACGAUAACAUUUCCAAACGCAAUAGCUCAUAACCCCCGGAAGGGUCUAAACAUAGUCUACAAAUCUCAAACACAAACCUUCACAUAACUAUCUCUGGCUUCAAAAUGCUUGAUUUGAUCUCUUUGUGGGGUAAAACCACACCUCCGUUGCUGUAAAUUUCAUCACAAACAUGGACAUCUUCUCCGAGGAUUGUUAAGUUCUCUACACGGGCCCAUUGCCCAACGGUGGAGUG
rnacentral:lncRNA from 1 species